GAGUUUGAUCUUGGCUCAGGACGAACGCUGGCGGCGUGCCUAACACAUGCAAGUCGAGCGGAGACAGUGAGUAGCUUGCUAUGAGCUGUUUUAGCGGCGGACGGGUGAGUAACGCGUGAGCAACCUUUCCCAGACAGGGGAAUAACACACCGAAAGGUGUACUAAUACCGCAUAAGACCACGGGAUCACAUGGUUCUGGGGUAAAAGAUUUAUCGGUUUGGGUGGGCUCGCGUCCGAUUAGGUAGUUGGUGAGGUAACGGCCCACCAAGCCGACGAUCGGUAGCCGACCUGAGAGGGUGAUCGGCCACAUUGGGACUGAGACACGGCCCAAACUCCUACGGGAGGCAGCAGUGGGGAAUAUUGGGCAAUGGGGGAACCCUGACCCAGCAACGCCGCGUGGAGGAAGAAGGUUCUCGGAUCGUAAACUCCUGUCCUUGGAGACGAGUAGAAGACGGUAUCCAAGGAGGAAGCCCCGGCUAACUACGUGCCAGCAGCCG
rnacentral:rRNA from 1 species